rnacentral:rRNA from 1 species
AGAGACCGAUAGCGAACAAGUACCGUGAGGGAAAGAUGAAAAGAACUUUGAAAAGAGAGUUAAACAGUACGUGAAAUUGUUGAAAGGGAAACGAUUGAAGUCAGUCGUGCUGGCGCGAAAUCAACCCUCUCGUCGGGAGACCCAUGUUGUGGCGAGCCUCAAAACCGCCACAGCAUGUGUCUCACGAUGAGGGGGAGCACUUUCGUGUCCGCUGGUAACAUCAAUUCGAAC